GCACAACGCGAAGAACCUUACCUACUCUUGACAUCCACGGAACUUUUCAGAGAUGAAUUGGUGCCUUCGGGAACCGUGAGACAGGUGCUGCAUGGCUGUCGUCAGCUCGUGUUGUGAAAUGUUGGGUUAAGUCCCGCAACGAGCGCAACCCUUAUCCUUUGUUGCCAGCGGUUAGGCCGGGAACUCAAAGGAGACUGCCAGUGAUAAACUGGAGGAAGGUGGGGAUGACGUCAAGUCAUCAUGGCCCUUACGAGUAGGGCUACACACGUGCUACAAUGGCGCAUACAAAGAGAAGCGACCUCGCGAGAGCAAGCGGACCUCAUAAAGUGCGUCGUAGUCCGGAUUGGAGUCUGCAACUCGACUCCAUGAAGUCGGAAUCGCUAGUAAUCGUAGAUCAGAAUGCUACGGUGAAUACGUUCCCGGGUCUUGUACACACCG
rnacentral:rRNA from 1 species